rnacentral:rRNA from 1 species
UACGUAGGGACCAAGCGUUGUUCGGAUUUACUGGGCGUAAAGGGCGCGUAGGCGGCCCUACAAGUCACUUGUGAAUCUCCGGGCUUAACUCGGAAAGGUCAACUGAUACCGUGCGACUAGAGUGCAGAAGGGGCAACUGGAAUUCUCGGUGUAGCGGUGAAAUGCGUAGAUAUCGAGAGGAACACCUGCGGCGAAGGCGGUGCUGGCUGACACUGACGCUGAUGCGCGAAAGCCAGGGGAGCGAACGGG